rnacentral:rRNA from 1 species
AUUGAACGCUGGCGGCAUGCUUUACACAUGCAAGUCGAACGCGUGCCGAACGGGUGAGUAAUAUAUCGGAACGUACCGAGUAAUUGGGGAUAUCCAAUCGACAGAUUGGCUCAUACCGCAUCUUAUUCGAGCGGCCGAUAACUGAUGAGCUAGUUGGUGGGUUAAAGGCCUACCAAGGCGACGAUCAGUAGCGGGUCUGAGAGGACGUUCCGCCACCCUGGGACUGAGAAACGGCCCAGAGUCCUACGAGAGGCAGAAGGGGGGAAGUGUGGGCAAUGGGGGCAACGCUGAACGAGCCAUGCUGCGUGUAUGAAGAAGGCCUUCGGGAUGUGAAGUGCUAGUGUUAGGGAAGCGGUACCUAAAGAAUAAGCACAGGCUAACUACGUGCCAGCAGCCGCGGUAAUUC